CUCGGUAUGCGCAUCGCCACCACCCUCGCUGCAGAGGCCGCCGCCCUCCCAGCGCGCCAUCACCGCCUCCUCUGCCUCUUCCCCUCCCUCAGCCCCGGCCCCUGCAUUGACUUGGCUCGGGCUGCGCCUCACUGCGCCUGCCAACUGUCACACGCUCUGAGGCUUUCAACAGCGGGGCGCCAGGGACAAACAAGCCGCGGCAAGCGCAAACAGCCUGCUCAAACAGGGACGGCCAGGGUGUUGUUUGACCAGCACUGGAAUUGGAAACUAGGUUUCGAAGAAGUCAAAUCGAAGUACAAUAUUGUAUUUUAAACUGCCUGUUGUUAUUACAUCCCUCACAACGCACGCUCUACUUGAAACUUCCAGUGGAUACCAACUGCACUUAGAAUAAAAAAUGAAACUCCUUGCCUAACUCUGGGACCUCAUCAGCACAUACUCACCAUAUUUUGGUAACAAAGGCCUUCAUGCUGUUCCCGGAAGUCGCCAAGUUCCAUCCAUCAUUGUUAAUAAUUCCUUUUGCUCGCUCCUCGCACAAGAACUGUUUCUUCUGCUUAGUGCUUUGCCUACUGAUUCCAUCUUGUCAUUUAAGUCUCGGCUCAAAUGUCACCUCUGCAAAGAACCCUUGUCUGACCAUACAUCUAAAAUAGCCACAAACACUCUAUAAAGACUUGGCCUUGCUUUAUUUCCUUCUCAGCACUCAUCACUGUCUGAAACAAUGUUUUGGAUUUGUUGCUUAUUAUCAGUCUCCCUUCUCAAGAAUGCAAGCUUUGUGAGGGCAGAGUCGUAAUCUUUUUUAAGGCUGUAUCCCCAAUGCCUGGAUUGCCCAACACUUGCUUCAUGCUUCAAGCACAUCAGGGUGCUUUCCACUUCUGGAUGAGCCAAGUGUUUCCUCAGCUUUUCUGCACCUUCCUCUCCAUUGACCUAGAGUGUCUAUGGAACACUCAGAGUGUCCCCUGUGUAAACCACCUACCACAAGAUUAUCAACUUCAGGCAAUGGACCACGCACCAGGAUUCCACCUCUUUCUAGCACCUAUCAGUGUUGCGCACAUCAUAGGCCCUCAACAAACAGUGUCCUUGUCUGGCUUCAAUAUCAGGGUAAUGCUGGCCUCAUAAAAACAGUUUGCAGCCACGCUGGGGGAUCCCACAUGGUAAAGAACUGCAGGUGGCCUCUAGGAGAUGAGGGCGGCCUCCAGUCAACAGCCAGCAAGAAACUGAAGUGCUCUGUCCUACAACCUUGUGUAACUGAAUUCUGCCAACAACCUGAGUGAGACUGAAAGUGGAUCCCUCUCCAGUCAUGCCUCAGUGUGAGAGAAACCUGUGACUUGCUUCUAACCCAUAGGAUAUGGCAAGGAACUAGUCAUAUCUGAGAGCAGCCUCCAGAAAACAGUCAGCAAAACACUGAGGUUCUCAAUCCGAUAGUCAAUGAGGAACGGAAUGCUGGAACAAUGAUGUGAGCUUGGAAGCAGAUCCUUCCCUUCUGCUGGGCCUCAGGUGAGACUGCAGCUCCAGUCAUCAUCUUGAUUGCAGCCCACAGAAACUACCAACCCACAG
ensembl:lncRNA novel transcript, antisense to LNPEP and ERAP2